AUUGAACGCUGGCGGAAUGCUUUACACAUGCAAGUCGAACGGCAGCACGGGGGCAGCCCUGGUGGCGAGUGGCGAACGGGUGAGUAAUACAUCGGAACGUGCCCGGUCGUGGGGGAUAACGUAGCGAAAGUUACGCUAAUACCGCAUACGAUCUGAGGAUGAAAGCGGGGGACCUUCGGGCCUCGCGCGAUCGGAGCGGCCGAUGUCAGAUUAGGUAGUUGGUGGGGUAAAGGCCUACCAAGCCGACGAUCUGUAGCUGGUCUGAGAGGACGACCAGCCACACUGGGACUGUGACACGGCCCAGACUCCUACGGGAGGCAGCAGUGGGGAAUUUUGGACAAUGGGCGCAAGCCUGAUCCAGCCAUUCCGCGUGCAGGACGAAGGCCUUCGGGUUGUAAACUGCUUUUGUACGGAACGAAAAGGCUCUGGCUAAUACCUGGGGCUCAUGACGGUACCGUAAGAAUAAGCACCGGCUAACUACGUG
rnacentral:rRNA from 1 species